rnacentral:lncRNA from 1 species
CAACAUGGAAUUCCAAAUUUUCUUUAGUUUGCUCUAUAUAUGCAAAUCUCUGAAUAAAGCACACUUUUUUUUUAUUCCAAAUUAUCUCAUGCAUUACAAUUUUACAUCAUUGUCCUUAUGUCACCUGGCCUCCAAACCUGGAAUUAAAAAUCUCUCAUCCACAUGACCCAAAGAAGCGAAUUUACAGAAAAAAUGAUAAAUAAAAGGGAUCUGCUAGAAGACACCUGGCCGGGGUUGAAGGAUUGGACAUAAGAGGGCCUGUCGUGCUUGGUCAUAUGGCCGCGUAAGUAAGGAUCGCAGGACAAGUAUAGGUUCUUGACGACAAGGCCAGUCGACCCUUGUGGAAGCUUGAGUUUGGCUGUGGACGUCCUCAAUUCCAUGUCGGAUUCUUUGGGGAACCCGGUCACAUAGUCUUUGAAUAUCACCUGCUUGUUGCUCAUCUCGCUCGCCAUUCGUACUUGCUUGCUGUUGAGAUCAAACUGCUCAAUGCUCUGGUCGUCCUUUCGAUGAGUGAUCAGCUAUUAUUUAUACACACAGAUAUGGACAAACGACAGGAAUGUCCAUUCCGGACAAGCAGAGAAGCCAAGUCCAUUCCGGACACACCAUUCCAGUUAUGGGUUCACAUUUCACCCGACGACGAAGUUGGUGCUUAUGUCAUCCACCUCUACUUACUUACGAGGCCCGAUCCAACGUAACCCUACCCUACCAAACUGUAUCUGAUGCAUUCACCAGCCAACUUACACAUGCCCAAUAUGCCCCAACAACAAAAACAAAAAGAACUUUGCAGCAGAACACAAGAGUUUGAUUCCCUUGUCUUCUGUUCUAUCAAUCUCCUGGUAUUAGUGGUAUUCUUUAUUUUCUUUUCAGCAACUACUGUAGGUUGCAUUAUGCGUUAUUCUUUUGGAAGUUUUUUAAUUGUUUUAAUUUUAUGUCUUAUAUUUUUCAUUUAACUAGAUCUACGUCCACCUACAAAAGUCGUCUUAUACAUACAAGAAUGUUGUCAUUUCAAAAAGUGCAUUCAUAUCUUCUUCUCAAUAUUAGAUCACACGCUGCCUUUCUCUUCAUACUUGAUAAUAGUAUAAAACAUGCUACAUUUAUUAGUGAUAAAGUAAUUUGGGAUUCACAUCCAAAACCAAUUGGUAAUGGGUGGAGUGGCCCAAACCCUUAUUAACCCACAUGCAAGGUCUCAUAUUCCCGAUGUGAGAUAUAUAUCUUAACACGCCCCCGCACGUGUGACGAAUCUUCUCAACACGUCUCCGCACGUGUGUCAAAUCUUCAACCCUAACACGUAGACAACAUUUGAGUGACGUGGAGUUCGUGUGGCCAUUGGGCUUCACACGUGGACGUGGGUAACCCGCUCUGAUACCAUGAUAAAAUAGUCUGGGGUUCACAUCCAAAACCAAUUGGUAAUGGGUAGAGUGGCCCAAACCCUUAUUAACCCACAUGCAAGGUCAUAUAUUCCCGAUGUGAGAUAUAUAUCUCAACAAUUAGGAUCAGACAGUUCUCCUCGACAUAAAAUGCAAUAUCCAAAGCAAGCUAACCAUAUACCUGAUACAAAGUUCAUUACAUAUACCAAGGUGCACUGCAGAUGGGCUUAAACAACUUAACAUAAAAACAAAUGACUCGGACUUCAGAAGUACAGAUGGAGCCGGAUUAGUAAUCACUCCCUGGAAACUACAACAACCUGCUUUCCCACGUUGCGGCCAGCAAAGAGCCCAAUCAGAGCUGCAGGAGCGUUCUCAAGGCCUUCAACUACAUCUUCCACAUAUGUAAUCUUCCCUUCUUUUAUGGCAGGCAACACUGUUUCAAGAAACUUUCCAUACAGAUGACAGUAACUGCUCACCAGGAAACCUUCCAUGCGGACCUGCUUAACAAUCAGAGACAUCAAAUUAUGUAUGCCUUCAGGCUUCUCCAAGUUGUACUGAGAUAUCAUCCCACACACUGCUAUUCGCCCUUUCAGCCUCAUGUUUGGUAGCACUGCAUCAAGCAUCUUUCCCCCCACAUUCUCAAAGUAAAUGUCAAUACCAUCAGGAAAAUACCUGCAGGUUAGCCAAAAACAACUUUAAACAAGAUGUAUAUUCCCAAAAUGAGGUACACAUGCGCAGCAUGAGACCAGACACUUUGUUUUCCCCUUGUGUUUCUAGAUUGAAUUCAGACUCUUAUUAAUGCCUGUGGAGGGUUUGUACCUCCAAAUCCAAUAUUGGAAAAACGAACCAGUCUAGUGUCACUGUAAUUAGAAUAAACAAAGAUCCUAGACUAAGUCAAAGCAUUAAGCAUAUUUUGGAUUCCGACUGCUAAGAGAUAUAUUACAUUCUCACCUUCUUAAAGCUGCAUCCAGGUCAGGUUCGUCUUUAUAGUUGAAAGCCUCAUCAAAUCCGAAUUUGUUCUUCAGCAGAUCAACCUGAGAUCCCAUGUUAACACAGUAGAUAAAAGGGUACGAAGUAUUCUGAAUAUCAGGAUAUUCAGAUAUACAAUGAAUACAGGUCAUCAGGUUCACAGUCUAUGUAGUAUAUUACAGUAUUAGAGGCAUAUCAGAUGAGGCGAAAAAACAGUAGAACUGCUUUAGAUUGAGUGCAGCAGCUACAAGAAUAAGACUAAAUUGAUAACACUUCUAUUUGUAUGUAGGUAAUUGAUCACCAUAAUAGUACUUCCCAAUAAUGUCUCCAUCUUUGAAUUCCAAGAAUUUGGUACACAUCACUAUAGACAUACACAUUUAACAUCACUAUAGACAUACACAUUUAACAUAAAAAUAGUCAUACAAUUGAGUCAAAGAUAUGGAAUCCCAACUAAAACAUUCACUGAUCUACGAGUACCAGUAACUAACCUUUUUCUUGCUUCCAGCACUCCCAACAACAUAGCAACCUGUCAACUUUGCAAAUUGGCCAACAAGCUGACCUACUGCUCCAGAUGCGGCUGAAAUGUAGAUAGUCUCUCCUUUCUUAGGAGAGCAAAACUCAAAAAACCCAGCAUAAGCAGUCAAUCCAGCCAUACCUACGUAACAUAUGAAUACGUCAGAUGAGCCCAAACAACCAAUAGACUCCAACAAGAGAUCUCAUGAGGGAACAAUAAACAAUAUGCACAAAAAAAUAUUGACACAAGCUGUCAACUUGUGACUAUAGCAUGAAACUUUUAUGUUCUCUGCUCGUGCAUGAAAAGUAGCUAAUACAAUCAGCUGCACAAAAAACUAUUGCCCCAACUUAACUCAAGGGGUUAGGUGUUGAGAUUGGUGUUCAUUCUCAUGCAACUAGAAACCAUGCAAAAGGUGAUGCAACAAAUAUUGACUUGGUGAAUAGCUAGCUAUGAUAUAUAGCUAUACAAAGCUUUAAAUGAUGUUUGUAGAAAUUGAAGGUGAAGAGUUAGUCUUCAAUGGUGUGCUCCUGCUUUUGUAAUAGGAGGGAAGAAAAAGGCUUUGCCUUUUUCACAUGAAUGGAUGUUGCCUAUAAAUUGGCUGCAUGGAAACCAUUUGAAGCAUGCAAGCAAGUCUGCAUCAAGUAAGCAUCAGACAAGCAAUAGAGAGCUUGUGGGUUGUGCAUGAGAGUGAGAGAGAAAAAAGUGCUACGAGGGAAAUUCUCUUAGGUGAGAUAUAGUGUUCUUGGGUAUUCUAUGAGUGAGGGUGUACAAGGGUUUGGGAUUUGGGUCAUGAGAUUUAACUCAUGUAUCUUGUACUAGUUUUUUUCUCAUAGUGGAAGAGUUAUAUCUUGGGGUGGACGUAGGCAGGAAAUUUGCCGAACCACGUUAAAUCUCGUGUCAACUGUUUUUCAUUCUUGUUUGUUAUUCUACUUUAUUGCAGUGUUGUUGGGUGUGUCUGUUUCUGAAUCUCAACAUUAGGCCCUCAAGAGCUGCAAGGUAACUAAUUGUGGGGUUUGUGGCUAAUCAAAUUAGCACAUUAGACUAAAGACUUGGGAGGUCUAUAAGUAACACAAACCAGUUUGUUAGUUACAAAAAAGUAGAAAGCAAGAGAAGUAGGCAAUACCGAGAAGUCCAGUAUAGUAAGAGAGAGGCACAUCAGUGUGGUGAAUUUUAAACAGAGACUCUGUGGCAGUGAUGACACUAUAUUCUUCCCAGCCAGUAGGACCCCAAACCAAGUCGCCUGGCUUAAACUUUGGAUCCCCAGAUUCCAGGACUUUAGCGACUCCAUAACCAGUUACAGUCUGCAACAUUCCAAAUUUUCUUAAAUUAGCUCUAUAUAUGCAAAUCUCUGAAUAAAGCACACACAUUUUUUGUUAUUCCAAAUUAUCUCAUGCAUUACAAUUUUAUAUCAUUGUCCUUAUAUCACCUGGCCCCCAAACCUGGAAUUAAAAAUCUCUCAUCCACAUGACCCAAAGAAGCGAAUUUACAGAAAAAAUGAUAAAUAAAAGGGAUCUGCUAGAAGACACCUGGCCGGGGUUGAAGGAUUGGACAUAAGAGGGCCUGUCGUGCUUGGUCAUAUGGCCGCGUAAGUAAGGAUCGCAGGACAAGUAUAGGUUCUUGACGACAAGGCCAGUCGACCCUUGUGGAAGCUUGAGUUUGGCUGUGGACGUCCUCAAUUCCAUGUCGGAUUCUUUGGGGAACCCGGUCACAUAGUCUUUGAAUAUCACCUGCUUGUUACUCACUUCCACUCCGUCACUCGCCAUUUUCAGCUUCUCUCUCCUCUCUGUGUCUCUCUACAACCGUAACUGAAGAAGAUGAGGGCGAUACGAGCAAUAUAUGCCAGGAAAUAUAGUAAUCACUGUAAUUUCUUACCUUACUAUGAUGUCACAGCCCAGCUCUCUCUGGAAUUUUCUGUUUAGAAUCAAAACAAAUUUCUUGGACAAUAAAUUUCACAUUUUUGUCACGUUUGGUUUCUUCAAUGCCGCUGACAGCAUUGGCGGAGCCAAUGAAGGACCGGUGAGGGCCUGUGCACAAGGACCGGUGAGGGCCUGUGCGCCUAGAGAAAUAUUGAAUUUCAUUGGUUAAUCUUCUUUGUGCCUCUGGAUAAAUAUUGAAUUUCAUUGGCUAAUCUUCUUUGUGCCCCCACAACAAUUCAUCUUCUUCUACUUCGAUUGGGAUUAUGCCUAGUUUCUCUUCUAUAGUUCUAUUUCUUGUAUUUGGGCUUUAGCUUUUUAGACUGGGUUUUUGGAAUGUGUCUCUUAAUUUCCACAAAAAAGCUAGACUAAGACAAAAGUCAUUAUUAAUUUGAAUUAAUGGGAUAUUUUUAACCUGAAGAAUGAACACUGUGGUCAUGGUAUGUAUGAACGUUAAGUUUUGGUUGGGAGCUGUGUAGAUUAUGUAGACAAAUUCUGGGUUUGCAAACUUCAAUUUUUGUACACACAAGUUACAGAGAGGAUUCAAAGCACCAAGGUGCACUUAAACCAAGAUGAAUAGACCGUUGGAUUACAUUUAUCUUAUUAUUUAAUAUUUAAAUAAAAAGUUAAGUAGAAAUAUCAACGGUUAAGAUUUUCUAAUAAAUACUUGGUUCACUUGUACCUUGGUAUAUGCAAGAAUUUUCGCACAAGUUAGCCACAGGUAAUGCUUAUAGUUGUGCGUAUAUAUAUAUAUAUAUUAGUAUAAUUUAGCGGUAAGAAAUUUUUGUGCCCCCAUUGAUAUAUUUUUCUGGCUCCGUCACUGGUUGACAGUACGACGUCCCUGCUUACGUCAACAGUUCAUUGCUGUCCUCUUGCACUAUGUUGUUACCAUUUCUGGGGUACAAGUUUCAUUUUUUUACUUGUAAAUUGCAAUUCAAUACAAACACAAGGAUGGUUUGGAGGACAGGUUGGUUUGGAGGACAGCAAAGGAUGGAACUCAAUAGUUUUGUGGAAAUACAUGCAUGGAAAACUACAACCUGAUGAUAUUCGACAACCUCGUGGCUACCAUUUGUCUUCAAUCUGCUUCCUCUGUCAUAAUAAUGUUGAGACUGCAGAGCACCUCUUCUUGCAUUGUUAUUUUGCAACUAAUAUCUGGGAAAAUCUUUUGGAUUUGUUUCAGGUUCGGGGUAUUUUCAAUGAUAUUAUUUCUUUCUUUACCUACCCUAUAUGUCAUGUUUAUAGCUCUCAGUUAACUCUGCUAUGGUGGGGAAUGAUUGGUGCUGGUUUUUAUGCUAUUUGACAUGUAAGGAAUGCUCUUCGUUUUCAAGAGUCAAUCAUAUUUUCAGGUUCCUUACUCCAUUCUAUUAAGAUGCAACUUCAUGAGAUUAAUCUUUUGAGUAAGGGCACAAUGAAGAAUACUGUAGACGAGCUUUGCAUUUUGCAUUGCAUUGGUAUUAGGGGCAGGCCAUCUAAAGCGCCAAAAAUUGUUGAAGUUAUGUGGCAUGUUCCCUUUAUUUAUUAAGUCAAGCUCAACACUGAUGGUGCGGCUCGUUGCUCUCCUGGUGUGGCAUUUUUCGAGAUCAUUUGGGUCGGGUUUUAGGUUGUUUUUCAAGAAAUCUUGGUUUUGCUACUGUAUUAGAAGCCGAGCUGCAAGCUGUCAUUCACGCCAUUCAAAUGGCUGCACAAAGAGGUUGGCUUUCUAGUUGGAUUGAAUUGAAAGUGAUUCUACUUUAGUGAUUCAUUUUCUUUCUUCAUUUCAAGUUGAUGUACCUUGGCGUUUCACUACUGAAUGGUUUAACUGUCGAGCUAUUCUUGCUACUAUGACUAUUAAUUAAAGUAUCUCAUAUUUAUCAGGGGGAUAACAGUGUUGCGAACUGCUUAGCUAAUUUUGGUGCGGAUAAUGCGGGAGUUUAUUGGUGGGAUUCAUGUCCAUCUUGUGCAAUUACAGCUUAUUCACGUGAUUUAGCAAGUAUUCCCAACUAUCGUUUUAGUUUGUGAUCUUUUAUUGGUCUUUUAAUUUGUAACUCUUCUUCUUUUUUCCGGAAGGGGUCUUGGUCUAUGUCUUUUUCUUUUUUUUUCUUUUUUUAUGAGGGGAGGAAAUUACAAGGAGAAGCCUCUACAACAACCUAUACUAAAACGAUCAAAAUUAAAGGCAUUAAGUGUGGAGAGCGAGAGCUUGCGAUUCCAGAGAGUUGGAUUUGGGACUGAUGCCCCAAGCUAGCCAUUGCAUUGGUCACAAAAUUUGCUUCCCGAGAGACAUACUUGAAGGUGAUCUCUUCAAACUUGGAAGCCAUCCAGCCAACAUCACUAAAAAGAGUACGGAGUCUCCAAAGAGAAAGGGGGGGGGGACCUGUUGUUAAUAAGGUCAAUAAUAAGCUUAGAAUCACCCUCAACUUGGACACGCCGGAUGUCGUUGCAAAGCGCAUGGAACAGACUGUCUCGAAGAGUACUACAAUAUUCAGCAAUAAGAACAUUGGAGUUACCCACACAACGAGAGCCAGCUAAAAUUGGAUUGCCCUCAUGGUUUCUGAUUACAAACCCAGCAUCAGCCUUCUUGUUGUGGCAGACGGAACCAUCAAAGUUGAGCUUGACAAGAUUACAUGGAGGCGGGAGCCAUUUGAUGGAGGAACUUGCUGGAAUGGCAAAUCCAUUGGAGUUGGUCUUGUGGCCUCUAGUAGUCGGAUUAUGGCUUAUGUAAUCAUUACUAGAAGAAGCAACAACAUGCACAACAACAAAGUUGGGGUUGGGCGUGCAUCCUCUAAAAAUAUAAUUGUUUCAGGCCUCCCAUAAUUUCCAGCAAAGGAGAAUGCAGUUUUCAGCUGUUUCUUUAUCUUUUUCCUUCCUGAACAGGGAAAGAAACCAGUCAUAGAAAGAUGAAUAAUCAAAAGCAUUAGUACCAAUCAUAUUCCAAAUACUCAUAGCAAAAGGGCAGGAGAAGAAGAGGUGGUUUAAAUCCUCCUCCCCAUUGCUACAGAGAGUACAAGAAGAGCUAAUAGUGUUUGAGUAACGAGCUAAUCUAGCCCUUGUUUUCAGCGUCUCUCUAGCCAGGAGCCAAGCAAAAAUUUUUGCUCUGGGAGGGAUAUUCAACUUCCAGAUGGCGGUUUUGGUCUAUGUCCCCCACUCCUUUUCUGUACUCUUUUGUUUCUCUUUUUUCAAUAAAUAACUGAAACCGAGCGUAUGGCUGAGCCUCCCAACUUGGCUGGGAUCCAAACCCUUAAAAAAAAAAUACAAACACAAGGUACAGAAAUCCUUGGAGGCACAGCUUCUUCACCAGAUCAAGAUGACAGUAACUACAAUUUAAGCAGAUCGAACAGGAAACAUGUAGCCAUCUUUCAUGUAUGAAAGGUCCAAAUACUAAACUCUACUUGUGUCCCUCAGACUACAUUUAUUUAUCUUGCCGAAAUGUAAAAUUUGAAGUUUCAGUUUCUCAUGAGUUUCAUUGAGAUAAAUCCAUUGAUGUAGCUAGUCAUUCAUUCUCAGGAAACAACAAGCACCUGCUUUCCUACAUUGCGGCCAGCAAAGAGGCCAAGCAAAGCCGAUGGAGCAUUCUCCAGGCCUUCAACAACAUCUUCAACGUAUGCUUGCCUUCUUUUAUGUAAGGCAGAACGAAUUCGAGAAACUUGCCGUAGAUAGGAAAGUAUUUUGCAACCAGGCAGUUUUAUUUGAUGUCCAAGCAGAUCUUAGCAACUUUGCUUCCAAGCAGAGAAGCCAAGUCCAUUUCGGAUACACUUCAUUCCAGUUAUGGGCUCACGCUUCACCCGACGACGACGUUGGUGCUUACAUCAUCCACCUCUACUUACUUACGAGGCCCAACCCAACCUAACCCUACCCUACCAAACCCAGCCCAGCAUCCCCAGCUGUAUCUGAGGCAUUCACCAGCCAACUUACACAUGCCCAAUAUGCCCCAACAACAAAAACAAAAAGAACUUUGCAGCAGAACACAAGAGUUUGAUUCCAUUGUCUUAUGUUCUAUCAAUCUCCUAGUAUUAGUGGUAUUCUUCAUUUUCUUUUCAGCAACUACUGUGUUGGUUGCAUUAUGCGUUAUUCUUUUGGAAGUUUUUUAAUUGUUUUAAUUUUAUAUGUCUUAAAUCUUCCAUAUAACUAGAUCUACGUCUCUUACAAAAGUCGUUUUAUACCUACAAGAAUGUUGUCAUUUCAAAAACUGGAGGAUGCAUAAGUGCAUUCAUAUCUUCUUCUCAAUAUUAUAUCACACACUGCCUUUCUCUUCAUACUUGAUAAUAGUAUAAAACUAUUGUGAAAAUCAUGCUACAUUUAUUAGGAUGAGACAGCUCUCAGGAUGAGACAGCUCUCCUCAACACAAAAUGCAAUAUCCAAAGCAAGCUAACCAUAUACCUGAUACAAAGUUCAUUACAUACACCAAGGUGCACUGCAGAUGGGCUUAAACAACUUAACAUAAAAACAAAUGUCUCGGACUUCAGAAGUACAGAUGGAGCCGGAUUAGUAAUCACUCCCUGGAAACUACAACAACCUGCUUUCCCACGUUGCGGCCAGCAAAGAGCCCAAUUAGAGCUGCAGGAGCGUUCUCAAGGCCCUCAACUACAUCUUCCACAUAUGUAAUCUUCCCUUCUUUUAUGGCAGGCAACACUGUUUCAAGAAACUUUCCAUACAGAUGAUAGUAACUGAACACCAGGAAACCUUCCAUGCGGACCUGCUUAACAAUCAAAGACAUCAAAUUAUGUAUGCCUUCAGGCUUCUCCAAGUUGUACUGAGAUAUCAUCCCACACACUGCUAUUCGCCCUUUCAGCCUCAUGUUUGGUAGCACUGCAUCAAGCAUCUUUCCCCCCACAUUCUCAAAGUAAAUGUCAAUACCAUCAGGAAAAUACCUGCAGGUUAGCCAAAAACAACUGUAAACAAGAUGUAUAUUCCCAAAAUGAGGUACACAUGCGCAGCAUGAGACCAGACACUUUGUUUUCCCCUUGUGUUUCUAGAUUGAAUUCAGACUCUUAUUAAUGCCUGUGGAGGGUUUGUAUCUCCAAAUCCAAUAUUGGAAAAACUAACCAGUCUAGUGUCACUAUAAUUAGAAUAAACAAAGAUCCUAGACUAAGUCAAAGCAUUAAGCAUAUUUUGGAUUCCGACUGCUAAGAGAUAUAUUACAUUCUCACCUUCUUAAAGCUGCAUCCAGGUCAGGUUCGUCUUUAUAGUUGAAAGCCUCAUCAAAUCCGAAUUUGUUCUUCAGCAGAUCAACCUGAGAUCCCAGAAAUUGUAUAUCCCCAUAUUAACACAGUAGAUAAAGGGGUACGAAGUAUUUUGAAUAUCAGGAUAUUCAGAUAUAGAAUGACACCAUACAGGUCAUCAGGUUCACAGUUUAUGUAGUAUAUUACAGUAUUAUAGGCAUAUCAGAUGAGACGAAAAAAACAGUAGAACUGCUUUAGAUUGAGUGCAGCAGCUACAAGAAUAAGACUAAAUUGAUACUAACACUCUUCUAUUUGUAUGUAGGUAAUUGGUCACCAUAAUAGUACUUCCCAAUAAUGUCUCCAUCUUUGAAUUCCAAGAAUUUGGUACACAUCACUCGGAGACAAUUUUUAAAAGACAUCACUAUAGACAUACACAUUUAACAUAUAUAAUCAUACAAUUGAGUCAAAGAUAUGGAAUCCCAACUAAAACAUUCACUGAUCUACGAGUACCAGUAACUAACCUUUUCCUUGCUUCCAGCACUCCCAACAACAUAGCAACCUGUCAACUUUGCAAAUUGGCCAACAAGCUGACCUACUGCUCCAGAUGCGGCUGAAAUGUAGACAGUCUCUCCUUUCUUAGGAGAGCAAACCUCAAAAAACCCAGCAUAAGCAGUCAUUCCAGGCAUACCUACAUAACAUAUGAAUACGUCAGAUGAGCCCAAACAACCAGUAGACUCCAACAAGAGAUCUCAUGAGGGAACAAUAAACAAUAUGCACAAAAAAAAUAUUGACACAAGCUGUCAACUUGUGACUAUAGCAUGAAACUUUUAUGUUCUCUGCUCAUACAUGAAAAGGAGCUAAUACAACCAGCUGCACAAAAAACUAUUGCCCCAACUUAACUCAAGGGUUUGGCCCUCAAGAGCUGCAAGGUAACUAAUUGUGGCUAAUCAAAUUAGCACAUUAGACUAAAGACUACGGAGGUCUGUAAGUAACACAAACCAGUUUGUUAGUUACAAACAAGUAGAAAGCAAGAGAAGUAGGCAAUACCGAGAAGUCCAGUAUAGUAAGAGAGAGGCACAUCAGUGUGGUGAAUUUUAAACAGAGACUCUGUGGCAGUGAUGACACUAUAUUCUUCCCAGCCAGUAUGACCCCAAACCAAGUCGCCUGGCUUAAACUUUGGAUCCCCAGAUUCCAGGACUUUAGCCACUCCAUAACCAGUUACAGUCUGCAACAUGGAAUUCCAAAUUUUCUUUAGUUUGCUCUAUAUAUGCAAAUCUCUGAAUAAAGCACACACAUUUUUUUUUAUUCCAAAUUAUCUCAUGCAUUACAAUUUUAUAUCAUUGUCCUUAUAUCACCUGGCCCCCGAACCUGGAAUUAAAAAUCUCUCAUCCACAUGACCCAAAGAAGUGAAUUUACAGAAAAAAUGAUAAAUAAAAAGGGAUCUGCUAGAAGACACCUGGCCGGGGUUGAAGGAUUGGACAUAAGAGGGCCUCUCGUGUUUGGUCAUACGGCCGCGCAUGUAAGGAUCGCAGGACAAGUAUAGGUUCUUGACCACAAGGCCAGUCGACCCUUGUGGAAGCUUGAGUUUGGCUGUGGAUGUCCUCAAUUCCAUGUCGGAUUCUUUGGGGAACCCGGUGACAUAGUCUUUGAAUAUCACCUGCUUGUUACUCACUUCCACUCCGUCACUCGCCAUUUUCAGCUUCUCUCUUUUCUCUGUGUGUCUCUACAACCGUAACUGAAGAAGAUGAGGGCGAUACGAGCAAUAUAUGCCACGAAAUAUAGUAAUUACUGUAAUUUCUUACCUUACUAUGAUGUCAGAGCCCAGGUCUCUCUGGAAUUUUCCAUUUAGAAUCAAAAGAAACGGCUGGACAAUAAAUUUCUCAUUUUUGUCACGUUUGGUUUCUUCAAUGCGAAUAAUGACAGUAGCAAGGGCCGACGACGACGUCCCUGCUUACGCCAACAGUUCAUUGCCGUCCUCUUGCACUUUGUUGUUACCAUUUCUGGGGUACAAGUUUAAGUUUUUGACUUGUAAGGUACAGCCAUUUGGAGGCACAACUUCUUCACCAUAUAAAGAUGACAGUAACUAUAAUUUAAGCAGAUCCAACAAGAAACAUGUAGCCAUCUUUCAUGUAUGAAAGGUCCAAAUACUAGACUCUACUUGUGCAUCCCUCAGACUACAUUUAUUUAUCUUGCCGAAAUGUUAAAAAUGAAGUUUCAGUUUCUCAUGUAAAGUUUAGUUUCAGUUUCAUUGAGAUGAAUCCAUGGAUGUAGCUAGUCAUCCAUUCUCGGGAAACAACAACCACCUGCUUUCCUACAUUGUGGCCAGCAAAGAGGCCAAGCAGAGCCGAUGGAGCAUUCUCCAGGCCUUCAACAACAUCUUCAACGUAUGCAACCUUGCCUUCUUUUAUGUAAGGCAGAACAAAUUCGAGAAACUUGCCGUAGACAGGAAAGUAUUUUGCAACCAGGAAGCCUUCCAUGCGCAGCUGUUUAGACACCACUCACACCAGAUACAUUAAAUUAUGCACACCUUCAGGUUGCACCAGGUUGUACUGUGAGAUCAUCCCACAAACUGAGAUUCGCCCUCCAAUCUUCAUGUUCGGUAGCACUGCAUCGAGCAUCUUUCCCCCAACAUUUUCAAAGUACCUGGUAUUUAUGAAAUAUAAACAAAAUUGAACAUUUAUGAGACUGUAUAUGCAUGUAAAGGCCAAAACAUAACGGAAAAUACUGUAUGUGGGAACAUUACAACAAAGACAUGAGGUCUUUACCUACGCAGAAAGUCCCACCUCAACUCUAUUAUAUGUGACCUUUCAAUUUCUUAAGUUUCUUGUAUUUGCUCUCUGUUUCAAGAGACUGGGAUGUUUUUACUGAUUUCUGAUUACUUUCUACUAUUCAAGGAAGGGAGGGGACAUACAUGUUGAAAUACUUCUUCUUUCUUUGAAGUAAGGGCGCUUGUAGUUAGUGCUAUCAAUGGAUUCUGAUAAUAAACCAUAUACUACUAACCUUUUCAAAACUGCGUCCAAGUUAGUUUCUUCUUUAUAAUUGAAGGCUUCGUCAAAGCCAAACUUGUUCUUCAGCAAAUCAACCUUAACACAAAAAUGGCAGGCAUUAUAUUAGAAAGGCAACAGGAAACAAAACAAGUCAAUUCAAAUAAUACAAUUCCCAUGACUAACAACGUCACAGGAUGCAGCUUUCUGUGCAUUAAACAGUGUGUGCGCUACAAUUCCAAAGGGCAUAAGAAUUCUUCCAUCAUAGAAGGUAGCAAAACCACAGGAACUACUUCUGUCAGUGCCGCAUGUUAAAAAAUAAAACAAAACAAAUACAUCUAAACUAAACAAGUCAAUAUGUUUUAUCACGAGGAUAAUGUAUACUGAUGAUGACUAAUAUUUGUACUUAAGCACAACCGAUUCAGUACUGGGCAAACAGUACAUAAUAUGUGUUUACAUACAACUGGGUCGCAUCCCCGGAAUCUAACUAAAACAACAUUGAUAUCUUUUCUAAGAAAAAGAAUUGAUAUUGAUCAUUGCUACCUUGUCUUGGCUUCCAGCACUCCCUACAACAUAGCACCCGGUCAACUUGGCAAAUUGGCCAACAAGCUGACCGACCGCUCCUGAUGCUCUGCUGAAACAUAGACUGUCUCUCCUUUCUUAGGAGAGCAGAUCUCGUAGAAGCCAGCAUAGGCAGUCAUACCAGGCAUACCUACAUAACGCAUGUCAUGAGUCUUGAGUGCAUUAAGCAGGAGUAGUGCAGGACAUACAUUGUGCAUUACAGGAUUGAAAAUGAAAGAUCAAAAGUUGUUGGAUUAAUUACGAUGGAUUUCUCCAACUCAUUUAAGUAGAGAACAAUGCUAAAAGCCAGAAAAGUUACUGCAUGACCAGUGUGUUCAAGAUCAUUUGAUGCUGAAUAAGUUUCUUUACUGCCACACUACAAAACUAAAUAUGAAAAGCAAUGUGGAAUGUGGAUUGUGGAACACCAGUUUUGGAAGAAAAAAGAAUAUGAGAAUUAACAAAAGCCGUCAAGUGUAAAUGUCUUUGUUAAAACUAAUAAGGAUUCGGCACAAGAUAGACUAGUCUCACCGUUCAACAUCUAUAAGAAGAAGCCAAUACAAUCAUUGACAGACAAAGAUAAUGCACAAUUUUUAGUUUCAAGCAGAACCAAUUUUUCAGAAGAAGAAUUAAUAAGGGUCAAGGGAGGGCAUAUAUACCAAGAAUUCCAGUAUAGUAAGAGAGAGGCACAUCGGUGGUGGGAAUCUUAAACAACGCCUGAACGGAAGUGAUAAGACUAUACUCUUCCCAGCCAGUCAUUCCCCAAAUCAAUUCGCCUUGCUUAAACAUUGCAUCACCAGAUUCCAAAACUUUAGCCAUAGGCUGCAUAUGUUUCAUACUAAAUAAGAAAACGAUUUCCAAUAUAUUGUAAAUAUAUGACUUAAUUGAAUUGGGUAAUUCUCAAAACAAAGCAGGGUUCUUUUUACUGUUUUCAUUGGAUGGGUGGGUCUUAACAUAUCAUAGCAGCAAGGAAGACAAGUUCUUUAAAACCCAACAAGCUUAAAGGUUUCAAAUUUGAAUUGAAAAGACAAUAUAUGACCUGGCCGGGGUUGAAGCGAUCGACAUAAGAAGCAGAGUUGCGCUUAGUCAUGCGGCUUCUCAUGUAAGGAUCGCAGGACAAGUAGAGGUUCUUCACCAGAACCCCGGUGGAGCCUUCUGGAAGCUUCAGUUUGGUGGUGGUACUGACGACGGCCAUGUCUGAUUCCUUUUGGGAAUCCGGCCGACACGUACUCCUUCAAUAUCACCUGCGUGUUCUUGACUUCCGCCAUUGCUCUCCAAAUGCAAAUGUGAAUGUGCCUGUGACUCUGUGUAGCUACAACACUAUUUAUUCAACCAAUCAAUCAAUGAAUGCGGUCCAACGCGAAAUGGCCAGUUGAUUUCUUCUGUUUAAGGAGUCUAUAGCUCUCAGUUCCUUUUUCUGUGUUUCAUAGCAAGACACGUAUGUUAAAAUUGAAGCCGUUUCUCACUUUUGCUUUCCUUCUAUCAGUUCGGUGCCAAACCACGGGAAUUCGUUUCCAUAUAAAAAAAGUCUCUCUUUUUUAUGAGAUUUGAGGGUUUGAUGAGGCUAACCAAUCUUCAUAACAGUGAUCGGUGGUGUGUGUAUACGUUAUCUUCGAAUUCUCCAAGUUAUUGUCUGCUACUUCCAUUUUGAAAUUGAUGCAUAAUUAGUAAUUGGACUGAAAAUGGCACAAAUUGUUUCCAACAUCCAAUUGUGUAUGGAAACAACAAAGUCAUGUAUAUCCAUAUGACCAUAUCAGAAUCAUUCGGUACACAAUGGCACAGGUACAAUAUAGUAAUCGGUUGCAACACAAUCUUUAUUCUCUCAACAUAGUACACAUGCAAUACAAAUUAUGCAAUAUAUGCUUCCCAGUAAAUAUCGAUCGACAAAGUAAUUUUAUUACUAGCUAGCAAGGAUGUGGAUUGAUGAAGGAAGCUCGUCGAUCUGGAUGUAUUAAGUUUGAGGUGGUGCAACUGCAACUACUUGCUUCCCAAAGUUGCGACCAGUAAAGAGUCCAACCAGUGCUGCUGGACCAUUCUCAAUCCCUUCAACAAUGUCUUCCACGUACACUAUUUUACCUUCCCGGAUGUAAGGCAGCACAAACUCAUAGUACUUGGGCACAAUGUGAUUAUAAUCGCGAUGCGUAAAUCCAUGUAUGUUGAGCCUCUUGAAUCCAAUCUGGAGCAAGUUUUUAAGUGGCUCAAACUCUGGAAGGUUGUAUUGUGAGAUCAUUCCACACACAGCAAUGCGACCGUGAUCUUUCAUGUUGAGCAGCACUGCGUCAAGCAAUUUCCCACCCACAUGCUCAAAGUAGACGUCAAUUCCUUCAGGGAAGUACCUUCAUAUAUUCCACGUACAGUUGAUUAUAUUAGUUCAACCAAGAGCAAUGUGCAUAUAUAUACGUACAGAUUGACUAGUCUGUAAUCUGUAUGCACAUAUACCGAUAUACGUAUAAUGUUAUUGUAUGUGCUUAAUGAAUCGAAUUACCUUUUUAAAGCGGCAUCUAAAUCAUUUUCCUCCUUGUAAUUGAAAGCCUCGUCAAACCCCAACUUGUUCUUUAGUAGAUCGACCUAACCGAUUCAAGAAUUAGUACUGAUCGAUCAUUAAUAUAUAGAGACCGGCAAUUAGUAAUACAAUGUAUGAGUUAACAACUUGUGGACUAGCUAGCUAGCAAGGUACCUUUUGUUUAGAUCCGGCCGAUCCAACAACAUAACAGCCAGCCAACUUGGCGAACUGUCCGAUGAGCUGACCAACUGCACCAGAUGCUGCAGAGACCAACACCUUGUCUCCUUUCUUAGGAGGACACACUUGAGAGAAUCCAGCAUAAGCAGUCUUACCAGCCAUGCCUGCAUGUAGAAUGGAUCGAGGUUGAUCAUAAUUAAUGACUUUCAAUUGAGCAAUGAGAUUAGCCAGUUUACUUACCAAGAAGUCCGGUAUAGUAAGAAAGAGGGACAUCAGUGUGGUGUAUUUUAACGAGUGAGGUUUCAGAGACGACGUCUGUGAUGAGGCUGUACUCUUCCCAUGUGGUUAACCCCCACACCAGAUCACCCUGUUUAUACUCUGGAUGACUCGAGUCCACAACUUGAGACACACCGUACCCACGUAUUGGCUGCAUCAAUUCAUAGAUACACAUAUAUGGUAAAGUGAUCGAUCAUGAUGAACUACCUACGUGCACUUGAUAUAUAUAGAUGCAAUAUUUGUAUUUGCAAAUUAGACUUACAGAUCCAGGAGUGCAAUAGAGGUAUUUGUUCAUUUUCUGCUGAGAGUUCAUGAUGAGGAACCGCAUCAUGGGAUCGCAGGACAAGUAGAGGUUCUUGAGUAGAACAGCAUUGGCGGUGUCUGCUGGAACCUUGAGACUUACUGUGCUAUCAGUGGUGACAUACAUGUCCGACACUUUGGGAAAACCAGACACAUAGUCCUUCAAUAUCACCCGCUUGUUCCUCGCUACUACUUCACCUGCCAUUGCUAGCUAGCAAGCUAAGCUAUUAACAAUCAACUUCCUUUCGUUUCUGGGUACGUACGUAAGAAAUUAAAGUACUUAGCAGUAUUGUAGUAAUACCAUUACCAACCCUGUAGCAAGGUCGAUGUUAUAUUUAUAGCAUAUCGGUGAAUAAAUCCCAGUGACUAGUCCAAUAUAUAUGAAAUUCGAUUUUGAUUCAAACUUUGUCUCAUGACUUUUCUUGUGAGGAUUAGCUAGAGGAUUUCGCGCCAUCUAUACUCAAGCUAGCUGGAAGACGUAAUUGCUUACAUGAUCGAUUGAGAGGAACAGAUAC